rnacentral:rRNA from 1 species
CCUACGGGAGGCAGCAGUGGGGAAUAUUGGGCAAUGGAGGAAACUCUGACGCAGCAACGCCGCGUGAAUGAUGAAGGUCUUCGGAUUGUAAAGUUCUUUUCUAAGGGAAGAAGAAAGUGACGGUACCUUAGGAAUAAGCCUCGGCUAACUACGUGCCAGCAGCCGCGGUAAUACGUAGGAGGCAAGCGUUAUCCGGAAUGACUGGGCGUAAGGGGUGCGUAGGUGGUUUGACAAGUUUGUAGAGUAACUCCGAGGCUUAACCUCGGCACUACUACCAAAACUGUUGGACUCGAGUGCAGGAGAGGCAAAUGGAAUUCCUAGUGUAGCGGUGAAAUGCUUAGAUAUGACGAAGAACCCCGAUUGCGAAGGCAGCUUGCUGCAGCGUAACUGACGCUGAUGCUCGAAAGCGCGGGUAUCGAACAGGAUUAGAUACCCCUGUAGUC